rnacentral:rRNA from 1 species
AGUUUGAUCCUGGCCUUCAGAUUUGAACGCUGGCGGGAUGCUUUACACAUGCAAGUCGAACGGCAGCACGGACUUCGGUCUGGUGGGCGAGUGGCGAACGGGUGAGUAAUGUAAUUUCCGGAACGUGCCUAGUAGCGGGGGAUAACUACGCGAAAGCGUAGCUAAUACCGCAUAAUAGCCCUUCGGGGAAAGCGGGGACCUUCGGGCCUCGCACUAUUAGAGCGGGCUGAGACGGAUUAGCUAGUUGGUGGGGUAAAACGGCUCACCAAGGCCGACGAUCCCAGCUGGUUUGAGAGGACGACCAGCCACAUUGGACUGAGACACGGCCCAGACUCCUACGGGGGCAGCAGUGGGGAAUUUUGGACAAUGGGGAAACCCUGAUCCAGCCAUCUCGCGUGUGCGAUGAAGGCCUUCGGGUUGUAAAGCACUUUUUGGCAGGAGAACAAUGGGAUAAUACCCCGUGCAACUGACGGUACCUGCAGAAUAAGCACCGGCUAAUCACGUGCCAGCAGCCGCGGUAAUACGUAGGGUGCAAGCGUUAAUCGGAAUUACUGGGCGCAAAGUGCGCGCAGGCGCCGCCCGGAAAGAAAGAUGUGAAACUUAGCCUUAAACCCUGAACCGAUAUUUAACUACUGAGCUCAGUGAGUGUGUCAGAGGAGUGUGAAUUCCGCGUGUAGCAGUGAAAUGGCAGCGUAGAUAUGCGGAGGAACACCGAUGGCGAAGGCAGCUCCUGGGAUUGGCCCAACCGCCCAGCAUGCAUCGAAGCGUGGGGAGCAAACAGGAUUAGAUAACCUCAGCCGUCCACGCUCCAAACGAUGUCAACUAGCUGUUGGGGCCUGCCUCCUGGUAGCGCAGCGCAGCUAACGCGUGAAGUUGACCGCCUGGGAGUACGGUUUAUCUGAACCUCAGCGAACUGACGGGGGACUCCGCACAAUGCAGUGGAUGAUGUGGAUUAAUUCGACAAGCAACGCGAAAAACCUUACCUACCCUUGACAUGCCUGGGAACCCGAAAAGAGAUCUUGGGAGCGUUUCCUGCAAGAGAACCGGAACACAGGUGCUGCAUGGCUGUCGUCAGCUCGUGUCGUGAGAUGUUGGGUUAAGUCCCGCAACGAGCGCAACCCUUGUCAUUAGUUGCUACGAAAGGGCACUCUAAUGAGACUGCUGGUGACAAACCGUGGAGGAAGGUGGGGAUGACGUCAAGUCCUCAUGGCCCUUUAUGGGUAGGGGCUUCACACGUCAUACAAUGGUCGGGACAGAGGUCGCCAACCCGCGAGGGGAGCCAAUCCUAGAAACCCGAUCGUAGUCCGGAUCGCAGUCUGCAACUCGACUGCGUGAAGUCGGAAUCGCUAGUAAUCGCGGAUCUGAUGUCGCGGUGAAUACGUUCCUCGGUCUUGUACACACCGCCCGUCACACCAUGGGAGUGGGUUUUACCAUAGUUAGCCUAACCGUAAGGAGGGCGAUUACCACGGUAGGAUCUAUGACUUCGUGGGGUGAAGUCGUAACAAGGUAG